rnacentral:rRNA from 1 species
UACGUAGGUGGCAAGCGUUGUCCGGAUUUACUGGGCGUAAAGGAUGCGUAGGCGGACAUUUAAGUCAGAUGUGAAAUACCCGAGCUUAACUUGGGUGCUGCAUUUGAAACUGGGUGUCUAGAGUGCAGGAGAGGUAAGUGGAAUUCCUAGUGUAGCGGUUGAAAUGCGUAGAGAUUAGGAAGAACACCAGUGGCGAAGGCGACUUACUGGACUGUAACUGACGCUGAGGCAUGAAAGCGUGGGGAGCAAACAGG